rnacentral:hammerhead_ribozyme from 1 species
AUUCAGCUGAUGAGUCCUAAAUAGGACGAAACGUGCGUCCUGGAU